rnacentral:lncRNA from 1 species
UAUAUAAUAAAAAAAAUCUAAACAAUAAAAUUAGAUAAUAUAUGUUAUAAUAUAACUUUUUUAAGCUGUAACAACGAACAGUGUUCACUCUUGUAAAUGUUGCGGCAGCAGCCGAUGUACGCAAAAUUAAUCUACAGUUUUUCGAACGAACAACUGCGUUUGCGUUUUGCGUUGGUGUUCUUUUAGGUGUUUAAGAUAUUUUAUGAUAACAAAAACAAGUGUUUUUAUUGAUAAUUUUGCAAAUUUACGGUUGCGAUACAUUGAAUCGUUUUGCAAGACCACGCUGUAAAAUACCAUUCUUUUGAUCGAUCAAUUUUAUAAGAUUCUUUAUUUAAUUUUUAGACGUCUUCUUUGCUUUUCAACCACUUCCAACUUUUCUUUUUGGUCGUAUAUUGUUCUUCUUUCCUCUUUAGUAUAUUCUACAUAGUAGAUUUUGGGAUGUUUUCCAUUUGAAAAUGAUUGACAACAAAGCUUUAAGUCUCAUCUGGAUGCAAAUCCAAAAAUGCAAACGCUUGUUUUGUAAGCGAAUCUUCGUCUUAAGCCUUUUUGUUUGAUUUUCAAAUAAAACUUAAUAAAAAAAAUGUUAUUAAUACAUAAAAAGAGUUACAUUUGUAACUAAAUAGAUGUGAUUGCAAGUUUAUUAAAUUAUUUAUAUUUUUAUAGUUUAUAAAAACUUUGUCUAGUUUUUUAGUAAUCACAUUUAAUAUAUGAAGUAAAUACUCCAUUAAAUGCAGUAGUGAUGUAAUGGUAGACAUAAGCGAGAGAUUCAGAGUUCGUUUCCCACCAUGGCAGUACCGCGCUCUAUUUAUUUCUAGAUGCAGUGGCGUUGUUUAUCAAGGUUUGUUUUUCGGUCUUUAAGAGCGGAGAGAAGGUUGCAAACAAUAUAAAAGUAACCUCCUCGACUGUAGUGCCCUCGGUCUUCGGAGGUAAAUAACAUUGAAAAAAAAAAAACUGUUGUAAAACUUUUUAGCAGGUUACUUAUUGGACUUAUCAACUGCUACUUGACAGCUUAUUUGUGCAGUCACACUUAAGACAGAGCGUUUAGAGAUAGGUUUCCAUCGUUUCAAAUCAUGUUGCUACUUCUUGUUGUAAUUGUUUAAAUAUUUAUAACUCUUUUAGUUUUUUUUUGUAAUACUUUUGCUACAUCAAGUCAGAGGGGAAGUAAGAGGGAAAUUAUUAAAAAACAGAAAGGUUUUUUACUUGUACAUGCGCUACUUUACACAGCUGUGGUUUUAUUGAUUUGAUAACUGGUAACCGGUAAUACAAA